AACCAUUGCCAGUGGAUCAUUUGGUUUGUGGAUCGAAGAAGACCGCAGCUAGCUGCGAUAAGUAACGCGAAUUGUAAGUACAUUGAGCGUGAAAUUGUCGAAUGCACAUUGCACCGUCGGGGUAAUACUCGACGGUACGUUUGGUUCAAGGUUG
rnacentral:rRNA from 1 species